rnacentral:rRNA from 1 species
AUUGAACGCUGGCGGCAGGCUUAACACAUGCAAGUCGAGCGGUAGCACAGGGGAGCUUGCUCCCUGGGUGACGAGCGGCGGACGGGUGAGUAAUGUCUGGGAAACUGCCUGAUGGAGGGGGAUAACUACUGGAAACGGUAGCUAAUACCGCAUAACGUCGCAAGACCAAAGAGGGGGACCUUCGGGCCUCUUGCCAUCAGAUGUGCCCAGAUGGGAUUAGCUAGUAGGUGGGGUAAUGGCUCACCUAGGCGACGAUCCCUAGCUGGUCUGAGAGGAUGACCAGCCACACUGGAACUGAGACACGGUCCAGACUCCUACGGGAGGCAGCAGUGGGGAAUAUUGCACAAUGGGGGCAAGCCUGAUGCAGCCAUGCCGCGUGUGUGAAGAAGGCCUUCGGGUUGUAAAGCACUUUCAGCGAGGAGGAAGGUGGUGAGCUUAAUACGUUCAUCAAUCGACGUUACUCGCAGAAGAAGCACCGGCUAACUCCGUG